UACGUAGGGUGCAAGCGUUAUUCGGAUUCACUGGGCGUAAAGGGUGCGCAGGCGGCCGUGUGUGUGAGGCGUGAAAGCCCGGGGCUUAACCCCGGAAUUGCACCUCAAACUACACGGCUAGAGCAUUGGAGAGGGUAGCAGAAUUCAUGGUGUAGCAGUGAAAUGCGUAGAUAUCAUGAGGAAUACCAGAGGCGAAGGCGGCUACCUGGACAAUUGCUGACGCUCAGGCACGAAAGCGUGGGGAGCAAAAGGG
rnacentral:rRNA from 1 species